rnacentral:rRNA from 1 species
AGGAUCAUUAUCGUACAACGGGGGUGCGAGGGCUGUCGCUGACCUUUCAAAAGGUUGUGCACGCCCGAGCACUCUCACGCAAUCCAUCUCACCCCUUUGUGCAUCACCGCGUGGGUCCCCUUUGCAGGAGGGCUCACGUUUUCACACAAAACUUGAUACAGUGUAGAAUGUUACCUUUUGCGGUCACACGCAAUCAAUACAACUUUCAACAACGGAUCUCUUGGCUCUCGCAUCGAUGAAGAACGCAGCGAAAUGCGAUACGUAAUGUGAAUUGCAGAAUUCAGUGAAUCAUCGAAUCUUUGAACGCACCUUGCGCCCCUUGGCAUUCCGAGGGGCACACCCGUUUGAGUGUCGUGAAAUCAUCAAAAAUCUUUUUUUUUUGUUUACCAGAAAAGGAUUUUUGGACUUGGAGGUUUAAUGCUCGUCUUUCACUUUUGAAAGUGAGCUCCUCUCAAAUGAAUUAGUGGGGUCCGCUUUGCUGGUCCUUGACGUGAUAAGAUGUUUCUACGUUUUGGAUUUAGCACUGUCCCUUUGGAUUCCUGCUCCUAACUGUCCAACGGACAAAGGAUGGUGCUCCGGUCACCGCCGUCUACAUUGGCGGGGGAGGGCUGGGCCCACGAAAGAAAACCUUGACCUCAAAUCGGGUGAGACUACCCGCUGAACUUAAGCAUAUCAAUAAGCGGAGGAAAAGAAACUAACAAGGAUUCCCCUAGUAACUGCGAGUGAAGCGGGAAAAGCUCAAAUUUAAAAUCUGAUGGUCUUUGGCCGUCCGAGUUGUAAUUUAGAGAAGCGUCUUCCGCGCUGGACCGUGCACAAGUCUCCUGGAAUGGAGCGUCAUAGAGGGUGAGAAUCCCGUCUUUGGCACGGACACACAGGGCUUUUGUGAUGCGCUCUCGAAGAGUCGAGUUGUUUGGGAAUGCAGCUCAAAAUGGGUGGUGAACUCCAUCUAAAGCUAAAUAUUGGCGAGAGACCGAUAGCGAACAAGUACCGUGAGGGAAAGAUGAAAAGCACUUUGGAAAGAGAGUGAAACAGUACGUGAAAUUGUUGAAAGGGAAACGCUUGAAGUCAGUCGCGUCGCCCGAGACUCAGCCUCGCCUCGGCUUGGUGUAAUUCUCGGCUGACGGGUCAGCAUCAAUUUUGCCUCUUGGAUAAUGGCAAGGGAAAUGUGACACCUUUACGGUGUGUUAUAGUCUCUCGUCGCAUGCAAGGGUUGGGAUUGAGGAACUCAGCACGCGCCUUCGGGUGUCGGGGGUUUUUGCCCACGA